UUAGGAUGUAUUUUUGUGUGUGAACUUUUUGCACGUAAUCUUUUUUUAUACCCAUAGCUAGCGUUUGUUUGUGUGGCAGUGUUCCGGGAGAUGGGCGCCGGGGGACAUGGGCUGGGGGGAGCGCACGUGACCUCCUCUGUCCGUGACCUCUUCAGCUGGGGAGACCGCGUGUUGCCCCGGCUGGAGAGACACGUUGAUGGAGGCGGCUGCGUGUGUCGUCCCUUGCCUGUAUCCUCUGGCGUCCAGAGGCGCGUAAGUGGAGAGCAUCGGCGCAGCGCGGGAGCAGCACGUCAGGGUGUAGGGUGUUUGUUUAGCUGGUGUAGGGAGCUUAGGGUGUUAGGGUGUUAGGUGUAACAACGGUUGGCUCUUUCACAGAACGGGUGUGACUCCGUUCUGCGUUUGAGUCUUCCACCUUCAGACGGUCUCCCUCUGAGAUGUCUGAAGUUUUUUUGUCGGUUUUCUCCGUAGGAGGAAGCCGACUCUAGCUACUCUGGCCUCUCUUCCGGGGGUCAGGGCGGUCGGGCUCUGCUUGGCCAGGCGUUGCCUUUCGCGUUGUCUCCGCCGACGUUUUGCCAGACUCUUCCGUACGGUUGAGCCUGGCUUUUUUAUUAGGUGGAUCAGGCUGCCUUCUUCCAAGGAGUCUGAUGGGAGUGGAGUCUUUUUUUUGGUGUAUGUCUGUGGGUGCUUAGUGGGUAAGGGAGGGUGGGGUAGAAUGGUUGGUGGGCUGGAAGUGGGUUGGGGGAUGAACCUCCUGGGAUUUGGGUUGUGUCGAGCCUUACCGCCUGGUGUGUUGGGUAACCUUCACGCCAGGGGGGGGGUGCCAAGACCAUAUCCAUUUCCUGGUGCAGGGCGAUUCCCCUUUCCCAUGCUAACUGGCCCUCCUCCGUCUGCCUCCCCAAACCCCCGCUAAGUGCUUGUGUGUGUUAUUUUAUUUAGGAUGUCUUUUUUUUCUAUGCCUUUUUCCCGUGUGUUUAUACCCAAUAGCUAGCGUGUGUGUGUGUGUGGCAGUCCGGAGGCGCGUGCAGCGAGGACAUCACAUCACGUCACUACGGUAUAUCCACGGUAUUUGGUUUAGUGUGUGCUGUGUGUGUUUGUGUGUGUGAUGGCAGGCCUGCCGUGUGUUUGACCUUUUGCUGUGUGUUGCUGUGUGACUGCUAGGAUUUCAUUUCUAUGCAUGUUUUUUUCCCCAUAACCCCCUUCCUCCCUAGCUCUUUAGCUGUUGUCCCUGCUGGGUGGAUGCUGCCGGGCGA